AAUAUUACAUGCUAUGGUUUC
rnacentral:siRNA from 1 species